GCCCGUCUAGCUCAGUCGGUAGAGCGCAAGGCUCUUAACCUUGUGGUCUUGGGUGGGUUCGAGCCCCAAGGUGGGUG
rnacentral:tRNA from 1 species